GCCCCGGUAGCUCAACUGGAUAGAGCGUCUGCCUUCUAAGCAGAAUGUUGUGGGUUCAAGUCCCGCCCGGGGCACCA
rnacentral:tRNA from 1 species